AUUGAACGCUGGCGGCAUGCCUUACACAUGCAAGUCGAACGGUAACAGGUCUUCGGAUGCUGACGAGUGGCGAACGGGUGAGUAAUACAUCGGAACGUGCCCGAUCGUGGGGGAUAACGGAGCGAAAGCUUUGCUAAUACCGCAUACGAUCUACGGAUGAAAGCAGGGGACCGCAAGUCCUUGCGCGGACGGAGCGGCCGAUGGCAGAUUAGGUAGUUGGUGGGAUAAAAGCUUACCAAGCCGACGAUCUGUAGCUGGUCUGAGAGGACGACCAGCCACACUGGGACUGAGACACGGCCCAGACUCCUACGGGAGGCAGCAGUGGGGAAUUUUGGACAAUGGGCGAAAGCCUGAUCCAGCCAUGCCGCGUGCAGGAUGAAGGCCUUCGGGUUGUAAACUGCUUUUGUACGGAACGAAAAGCCUCUUUCUAAUAAAGAGAGGUCAUGACGGUACCGUAAGAAUAAGCACCGGCUAACUACGUGCCAGCCGCCGCAGUAAGAC
rnacentral:rRNA from 1 species